UUGUCUAAAAAAAAGUGUUUUACAAAAAAGUGACUAGAGUGAAUGUUUCCCUUAUCAAAGAUAUACAUGAACGAACUAUGGCUAUGAUAAAAAAACACAAACAAUAACCUGAGAAAAUUAUCUCAUCGUUAAGUAUUUGUGUGUUCUUCGGGUAUCUCUUGGAACAAGCUUCGAGUUAUUGGUUCUUCACCGUAUCUUCCGGACUGCGAUGUCGCCGAUGGUGCAGAGAAAGAGCCAGGUUGGAGCAGAUCGAGAGUCAAUAGACCAUUUUAAAAUUCAAGAAGCGGCACCUGCCUCUUUUGCCUACACGCCUUUCGAUAUAUCUCUUCAACGAGAUUGAAACAAGGAUAGAAAUGAUAAUUAAAAUAUAUUCCCAUGAACACAUGCCACAGUGUUCGUUUAAAUCAGCCUUGAGCAAAUAAUGACGUAAAUAAUAAUAAAAAUGGAAAUCAAUCAGAUAAAGCAACGCAACAUUAUCUUAAAAAAACACAUCACAGCAAGACUUCCUCUUCGAAAGAAAAAAAAAAAAUACCAAAAUCUGCGGCCAUCAGUACUGCAGCAUUAUAAAAUGUCUCCAAGAAGUGCAUGCAUUGCGUUUUCUUGCUUCCGCGACACUGCUAUCA